rnacentral:misc_RNA from 1 species
AAGUCGUAACAAGGUCUCCGUAGGUGAACCUGCGGAGGGAUCAUUACAGAGAACAUCGCCCGCAAGGGUGACUCUCCAACCCUAUGUUAAUUAUACCUUUGUUGCUUUGGCGAGCCGCUUCGGCCACCGGCUCACGCUGGUGAGUGCUCGCCAGAGGACCCAAAACUCUGUUUAUACAUGUCGUCUGAGUACUAUAUAAUAGUUAAAACUUUCAACAACGGAUCUCUUGGUUCUG